rnacentral:rRNA from 1 species
UACAGAGGUCUCAAGCGUUGUUCGGAUUCAUUGGGCGUAAAGGGUGCGUAGGCGGCGCGGUAAGUCGGGUGUGAAAGUCCAGGGCUCAACCCUGGGAUGCCGGUCGAUACUGCCGGACUAGAGUUCGGAAGAGGCGAGUGGAAUUCCCGGUGUAGCGGUGAAAUGCGUUGAUAUCGGAAGGAACUCCGGCGGCGAAAGCGAUGCACUGGCUGAUUUCUGACGCUGAGGUGCGAAAGCCAGGGGAGCAAACGGG